UGGCGGCCUCUGACUCAAUGAUCCUUGACGAGUUAAUGAAGGCGGCAACAUGAUGACCCAGCUAUAUCCAGGAAAGAGAUGAGUCAACCACUGAAGAUCAAAAAAGAGAGAAGAGAAGAAAAAGGACUCAUCCGAAUGAAGGAGAUCACGACCUUCCUCUAUCAUCUUUCAAUGCUUUGCUCCUUGAUUUUGUCUAGAUCGAUAUCAAUGAGCAUCCUCUCGAUUGUGCGGUGGGUAGUCUUCUAAUCCUCAAAGGUGGCAUCCAUGGGAAAUGAGGAUCGGCCCUCCCUCCACCUGAUAGGUAUUUCUAUGGAGUCUGGACUCGAUUGAUCGGCCCG
rnacentral:lncRNA from 1 species